rnacentral:lncRNA from 1 species
AUUUAAACUAGGACAAAAGCUAAAGCAUCACCUUCCUCUGCCCAAGUUUUCCCAGGCUUAACUUCACUUCUUCAUGGCCGACUGACAUCUACCUUCCCUCACCCACCUAACAGCCCCGGAGCAGUGCAUGGAGGAUUACACCUCGUAAAUAUCUGUUCUUUUCUGCCGCACCUUCCUUCUUAUACGUUUCCUCUUCUCCAGGCGCGGGCUGCAACCGCGCGGCCGCUCUGUCAGGGGGACCUGCUUGAAGGCGGGCUGCAACCGCGCGGCCGCUCUGUCAGGGGGACCUGCUUGAAGGCGGGCUGCAACCGCGCGGCCGCUCUGUCAGGGGGACCUGCUUGAAGGCGGGCUGCAACCGCGCGGCCGCUCUGUCAGGGGGACCUGCUUGAAGGCGGGCUGCAACCGCGCGGCCGCUCUGUCAGGGGGACCUGCUUGAAGGCGGGCUGCAACCGCGCGGCCGCUCUGUCAGGGGGACCUGCUUGAAGGCGGGCUGCAACCCUGCGGCUACGUUUUCUUAGGAAGUAUUAAACUGUUCCCAUCCACACUGUACAGAAGGUAUCUUAGUGGGGGCCUUUUUCAAAUUCUGCAAUGUCUGACUGAGAAGAAAAAAUGCUCUGCAAACUGCCACAGAAGCAGAGGAGGUAAUCACACCUCAUGUAAGCAGCUUUGUGCCCAGGAGAACAUAUUGACUUCAUCAUAGAUCAGAGGAUGAGUAAUGAAUAUUGUGGAAUACAGAAGAGAAGGCACUGCUUGAACACCUGGAUGAAGUUGGAGGGAAGCUCACACUUAGUGGCCGCUCUGUAAGAUUAAGAAAAUUCAGAAGGAAGGGGAGAAAUGGAUGAAUUGCUGUAUGUCAUACAAGGGGCAUAACAACCCAAAUGCCCUUGGCUGUAUACUCAUCUGCACCACACACACCAGUGAUGCCUGGAUUCCUCUAGAAUCUCCAGCUGCCAAAGAAAAAAAUACCAGAAGCCCAGUUGGUGGAAAGCCCAUCACUUACUCUAGGUGAUAGAAGUCUUCUGCACCAGUAAGGAUCAGGCUGCCCGUAUACACAGUGAGAAGGAUGAUCCUAGUAACUAAUACUCAGAGGUCAGCC